UUAAGCGACUAAGCGUACACGGUGGAUGCCCUGGCAGUCAGAGGCGAUGAAGGACGUGCUAAUCUGCGAAAAGCGUCGGUAAGGUGAUAUGAACCGUUAUAACCGGCGAUGUCCGAAUGGGGAAACCCAGUGUGAUUCGUCACACUAUCGUUAACUGAAUACAUAGGUUAACGAGGCGAACCGGGGGAACUGAAACAUCUAAGUACCCCGAGGAAAAGAAAUCAACCGAGAUUCCCCCAGUAGCGGCGAGCGAACGGGGAGCAGCCCAGAGUCUGAAUCAGCUUGUGUGUUAGUGGAACGGUCUGGAAAGUCCGACGGUACAGGGUGAUAGUCCCGUACACCAAAAUGCACAGGUUGUGAACUCGAAGAGUAGGGCGGGACACGUGGUAUCCUGUCUGAAUAUGGGGGGACCAUCCUCCAAGGCUAAAUACUCCUGACUGACCGAUAGUGAACCAGUACCGUGAGGGAAAGGCGAAAAGAACCCCGGCGAGGGGAGUGAAAAAGAACCUGAAACCGUGUACGUACAAGCAGUGGGAGCACCUUCGGGUGUGACUGCGUACCUUUUGUAUAAUGGGUCAGCGACUUAUAUUCUGUAGCAAGGUUAACCGUAUAGGGGAGCCGCAGGGAAACCGAGUCUUAACUGGGCGUUAAGUUGCAGGGUAUAGACCCGAAACCCGGUGAUCUAGCCAUGGGCAGGUUGAAGGUUGGGUAACACUAACUGGAGGACCGAACCGACUAAUGUUGAAAAAUUAGCGGAUGACUUGUGGCUGGGGGUGAAAGGCCAAUCAAACCGGGAGAUAGCUGGUUCUCCCCGAAAGCUAUUUAGGUAGCGCCUCGUGAACUCAUCUUCGGGGGUAGAGCACUGUUUCGGCUAGGGGGUCAUCCCGACUUACCAACCCGAUGCAAACUACGAAUACCGAAGAAUGUUAUCACGGGAGACACACGGCGGGUGCUAACGUCCGUCGUGAAGAGGGAAACAACCCAGACCGCCAGCUAAGGUCCCAAAGUCAUGGUUAAGUGGGAAACGAUGUGGGAAGGCACAGACAGCCAGGAUGUUGGCUUAGAAGCAGCCAUCAUUUAAAGAAAGCGUAAUAGCUCACUGGUCGAGUCGGCCUGCGCGGAAGAUGUAACGGGGCUAAACCAUGCACCGAAGCUGCGGCAGCGACACUAUGUGUUGUUGGGUAGGGGAGCGUUCUGUAAGCCUGCGAAGGUGACCUGUGAGGGUUGCUGGAGGUAUCAGAAGUGCGAAUGCUGACAUAAGUAACGAUAAAGCGGGUGAAAAGCCCGCUCGCCGGAAGACCAAGGGUUCCUGUCCAACGUUAAUCGGGGCAGGGUGAGUCGACCCCUAAGGCGAGGCCGAAAGGCGUAGUCGAUGGGAAACAGGUUAAUAUUCCUGUACUUGGUGUUACUGCGAAGGGGGGACGGAGAAGGCUAUGUUAGCCGGGCGACGGUUGUCCCGGUUUAAGCAUGUAGGCUGGUUAUCCAGGCAAAUCCGGAUAAUCAAGGCUGAGGUGUGAUGACGAGGCACUACGGUGCUGAAGUAACAAAUGCCCUGCUUCCAGGAAAAGCCUCUAAGCAUCAGGUAACAUCAAAUCGUACCCCAAACCGACACAGGUGGUCAGGUAGAGAAUACCAAGGCGCUUGAGAGAACUCGGGUGAAGGAACUAGGCAAAAUGGUGCCGUAACUUCGGGAGAAGGCACGCUGGUGUGUAGGUGAAGUCCCUGCGGAUGGAGCUGAGACCAGUCGAAGAUACCAGCUGGCUGCAACUGUUUAUUAAAAACACAGCACUGUGCAAACACGAAAGUGGACGUAUACGGUGUGACGCCUGCCCGGUGCCGGAAGGUUAAUUGAUGGGGUUAUCCGUAAGGAGAAGCUCUUGAUCGAAGCCCCGGUAAACGGCGGCCGUAACUAUAACGGUCCUAAGGUAGCGAAAUUCCUUGUCGGGUAAGUUCCGACCUGCACGAAUGGCGUAAUGAUGGCCAGGCUGUCUCCACCCGAGACUCAGUGAAAUUGAACUCGCUGUGAAGAUGCAGUGUACCCGCGGCAAGACGGAAAGACCCCGUGAACCUUUACUAUAGCUUGACACUGAACAUUGAGCCUUGAUGUGUAGGAUAGGUGGGAGGCUUUGAAGCGUGGACGCCAGUCUGCGUGGAGCCAACCUUGAAAUACCACCCUUUAAUGUUUGAUGUUCUAACGUUGGCCCCUUAUCGGGGUUGCGGACAGUGUCUGGUGGGUAGUUUGACUGGGGCGGUCUCCUCCCAAAGCGUAACGGAGGAGCACGAAGGUUAGCUAAUCCUGGUCGGACAUCAGGAGGUUAGUGCAAUGGCAUAAGCUAGCUUGACUGCGAGCGUGACGGCGCGAGCAGGUGCGAAAGCAGGUCAUAGUGAUCCGGUGGUUCUGAAUGGAAGGGCCAUCGCUCAACGGAUAAAAGGUACUCCGGGGAUAACAGGCUGAUACCGCCCAAGAGUUCAUAUCGACGGCGGUGUUUGGCACCUCGAUGUCGGCUCAUCACAUCCUGGGGCUGAAGUAGGUCCCAAGGGUAUGGCUGUUCGCCAUUUAAAGUGGUACGCGAGCUGGGUUUAGAACGUCGUGAGACAGUUCGGUCCCUAUCUGCCGUGGGCGCUGGAGAAUUGAGGGGGGCUGCUCCUAGUACGAGAGGACCGGAGUGGACGCAUCACUGGUGUUCGGGUUGUCAUGCCAAUGGCACUGCCCGGUAGCUAAAUGCGGAAGAGAUAAGUGCUGAAAGCAUCUAAGCACGAAACUUGCCCCGAGAUGAGUUCUCCCUGAGACUUUAAGUCUCCUGAAGGAACGUUAAAGACGAUGACGUUGAUAGGCCGGGUGUGUAAGCGCAGCGAUGCGUUGAGCUAACCGGUACUAAUGAACCGUGAGGCUUAACCU
rnacentral:rRNA from 1 species